GACGAACGCUGGCGGCGUGCUUAACACAUGCAAGUCGAACGGAAAGGCCCUGCUUUUGUGGGGUGCUCGAGUGGCGAACGGGUGAGUCACACGUGAGUAACCUGCCCUUGACUUUGGGAUAACUUCAGGAAACUGGGGCUAAUACCGGUUAGGAGCUCCUGCUGCAUGGUGGUGGUUGGAAAGUUUCGGCGGUUGGGGAUGGACUCGCGGCUUAUCAGCUUGUUGGUGGGGUAGUGGCUUACCAAGGCUUUGACGGGUAGCCGGCCUGAGAGGGUGACCGGCCACAUUGGGACUGAGAUACGGCCCAGACUCCUACGGGAGGCAGCAGUGGGGAAUAUUGCACAAUGGGCGGAAGCCUGAUGCAGCAACGCCGCGUGCGGGAUGACGGCCUUCGGGUUGUAAACCGCUUUCGCCUGUGACGAAGCGUGAGUGACGGUAAUGGGUAAAGAAGCACCGGCUAACUACGUG
rnacentral:rRNA from 1 species